rnacentral:rRNA from 1 species
GAUGAACGCUAGCUACAGGCUUAACACAUGCAAGUCGAGGGGCAGCAUGAUUGAAGCUUGCUUCAAUCGAUGGCGACCGGCGCACGGGUGAGUAACACGUAUCCAACCUGCCGAUAACUCGGGGAUAGCCUUUCGAAAGAAAGAUUAAUACCCGAUAGUAUAGUAUUUCCGCAUGGUUUCACUAUUAAAGAACUUCGGUUAUCGAUGGGGAUGCGUUCCAUUAGAUAGUUGGCGGGGUAACGGCCCACCAAGUCAACGAUGGAUAGGGGUUCUGAGAGGAAGGUCCCCCAGAUUGGAACUGAGGCACAGUCCAAAAUCCUACGGGAGGCAGGAGUAAGGAAUAUUGGUCGAUGGACGAGAGUCUGAAACAGCCAAGUAGCGUGAAGGAUGACUGCCAUAUGGGUUGUAAACUUCUUUUAUACGGGAAUAAAGUGGGGUAUGCAUAAUCCUUUGUAUGUACCGUAUGAAUAAGGAUCGGCUAACUCCGUG